rnacentral:rRNA from 1 species
UACGGAGGGGGCUAGCGUUGUUCGGAAUUACUGGGCGUAAAGCGCACGUAGGCGGCUUUGUAAGUUAGAGGUGAAAGCCCGGAGCUCAACUCCAGAAUUGCCUUUAAGACUGCAUCGCUCGAAUCAUGGAGAGGUGAGUGGAAUUCCGAGUGUAGAGGUGAAAUUCGUAGAUAUUCGGAAGAACACCAGUGGCGAAGGCGACUCACUGGACAUGUAUUGACGCUGAGGUGCGAAAGCGUGGGGAGCAAACAGG